rnacentral:rRNA from 1 species
AUAAAAAGCCAAUGCCCUCCGGGGCUCUUUGGUGAUUCAUAGUAACUUAACGGAUCGCAUGGCCUUGCGCCGGCGACGGCUCAUUCAAAUUUCUGCCCUAUCAACUUUCGAUGGUAAGGUAUUGGCUUACCAUGGUUUCAACGGGUAACGGGGAUUAGGGUUCGAUUCCGGAGAGGGAGCCUGAGAAACGGCUACCACAUCCAAGGGAGGCAGCAGGCGCGCAAAUUACCUAAUCCCGACACGGGGAGGUAGUGACAAUAAAUACUGAUACAGGGCUCUUUUGGGUCUUGUAAUCGGAAUGAGUACAAUUUAAACCCCUUAACGAGGAACAAUUGGAGGGCAAGUCUGGUGCCAGCAGCCGCGGUAAUUCCAGCUCCAAUAGCGUAUAUUAAAGUUGUUGCAGUUAAAAAGCUCGUAGUUGAACCUUGGGCCUGGCUGGCCGGUCCGCCUCACCGCGAGUACUGGUCCGGCUGGGUCUUUCCUUCUGGGGAACCUCAUGGCCUUCACUGGCUGUGG